rnacentral:tRNA from 1 species
CAAAAAAUAGUUUAAAAAAAAUUUUAAUUUUGGAGAUUAAAGAUAUAAAAAAUUUAUUUUUUUGA